rnacentral:rRNA from 1 species
GACGAACGCUGGCGGCGCGCUUAACACAUGCAAGUCGAACGGAAAGGCCUGCUUUCCCUUGUGGAUUGCGGGUACUCGAGUGGCGAACGGGUGAGUAACACGUGAGUGAUCUGCCCCCAACUUGGGUAUAAGCCUGGGAAACUGGGUCUAAUUCCCGAUAGGACUGCAGGGUGGUGCCUGUGGUGGAAAACGAUUUUCUAGUGGUUGGGGAUGAGCUCGCGGCCUAUCAGCUUGUUGGUGGGGUAAUGGCCUACCAAGGCGGCGACGGGUAGCCGGCCUGAGAGGGUGGACGGCCACAUUGGGACUGAGAUACGGCCCAGACGCCUACGGGAGGCAGCAGUGGGGAAUAUGGCACAAUGGGCGGAAGCCUGAGGCAGCGACGCCGCGUGGGGGAUGACGGCCUUCGGGUUGUAAACUCCUUUCGACCGCGAGGAAGCCACCUGGUUGGAAGGGUGGUGACGGUAGUGGUAGAAGAAGCACCGGCUAACUACGUG